UACGUAGGUGGCAAGCGUUGUCCGGAUUUAUUGGGUUUAAAGGGUGCGUAGGCGGUCUAUUAAGUCAGUGCUGAAAUAUCCCGGCUUAACCGGGAGGGUGGCAUUGAUACUGGAUGGCUUGAGUUUGGGAGAGGGAUGCGGAAUUCCAGGUGUAGCGGUGAAAUGCGUAGAUAUCUGGAGGAACACCGGUGGCGAAGGCGGCAUCCUGGACCAACACUGACACUGAGGAGCGAAAGCCAGGGGAGCAAACGGG
rnacentral:rRNA from 1 species